rnacentral:lncRNA from 1 species
GCAGUGAAUUCUACAAAGAGGCUAUGGGAAAGAAACCUGGAAAGUACCCUUGGCUGUGUACAUUUGAGUAAAGAGAGCACUAUAAAAUCAAAAACCAAUGAAAUGGUUUCCAGAACACAGAACUAUUAAGCUUAAGAAAAGGACAGAAGGAACUGAAGAGAGAGGAACUGUUUUGGAGCAUCACACUUCCACCUCAGAAGAAAUAAGGAAGGAAGGAGGAGGGUGUUCCCACGGCUCUUCAACCAGGCCGGCUCUUCAGCCUACAUCCCCAUCUCAUCAAGUAAAAGGGAUUUUUCAACUGGACCAACCAGAUGGUUUAACAGUGCACUCCCACACCAUUCAACUACGCAAGGGAGAUACACUUAACAUAUGCAGUCGUAUAACACCUACUAACAUUUUCAAACAUUAAACCUUUAAAAAAGAGUUCUAAAGAAAUAGAAGCUUGAAGUAUCAUCUCUCAAGUAUAUAGACACUACUUCAUGGUGUGGUAAUAUAUGCAUAUAGAAGCUAGUAAACACCUCCAGGAGAUGCAAAAGGAAUUAGAACUGCCACAAGGUGCAAGCAAAACCUUGAGCUUCUUUAAAAUAUGAAGACUUCGAAGUUAUUUAUCCAAACCAACCUGAUCAUUUCUUAAGAGUGAAUAUACCUUGGAAGACGUGUCCUGCCUUUAGUAGCGUCACAAUGGAUUACAUCCUCUAUAAAGCAGUCUGGGGUGAGAAAAUCGAAUUUGGACACCGUUGAGGAGACUAUUGCAGUCAUCCAAGCUCAAGAUGGUGGAGCUUCAUCCUUGAGAAUAACCAAUGGGGAUAGAUUUAAGAGACACUUAGAGUCUGCAGCCAACAGGGCUGAAUGAGCAUUCUGUUUUUCCUCUUCUAAUCCUUCACCCAUCUGAGCUAAAGUCUAGACCUAAGGAGGCUACUAAUUCAGGGAUCGAGUAAUCUGCCAAGCAAGAGUUUAUUCAAGCACAGUUUGAAAUAAAGGUUUCAAAUGCAUAGCCUGUCGAUACUUUGGAAGGAUUCUCAUCAUAACGAGUAUGCAAUUUGCUAUAAAGAAGAAUGCCCAUUACGGACUAAAUGUUUAUGUCCUCCUAAAAUUCAUAUGUUGAAGGCCUAACUCUCAAUGUGAUGAUUAUGUGGAGAUGGUGCCUUUGGGAGGUAACUGGGCUUAGAUGUGGGCGUGAGGGUGGGGCCUCAUGGUGAAAUUUGUGCCCUUGUAAGAAAAACACACCACAGGUUUUCAUUCUUCCUCUGCCACAUGAGGCCACAGUAAGAAUGUGACCAUCUGCUAGCCAGGAGGAAAGUCCUCACUGGAACCCGCCCAUAAUAACACUCCAGUCUGGGGCUUUUCAGCCUCCAGAACCAUGAGAAAUAAAUUUCUAGUGUUUAAGUCA